rnacentral:lncRNA from 1 species
UUUUUUUUUGGUUGGUGGUCUUGGUUUUGGCUAAUUUUUUUAAAUCCUUGCCAGGGUAACUAGUGCCUGACUCCUGUGGAUAAGCCAGGAGCUGCAGGGUCAGGGCACACCUCGGGGUUGCUGCGCUGAGUGUCCAGUGUGGGGCCAGCGCUCAGCACACGCUCCAGCAGAGAUCCCUGUCCCAGUGCCCCUCUGUGACUGCUCUGAGCAGUGUGGCCAGGACUGGCACUGAUAGGUGUCACCACCCCAAACAACUCCACAGAGACUGGUAAGAACUGGGGCUUCUGAGCUGCUGGGGAACACCAGGAAUCUGCAGGAUUUAAGGCACAGAAGGUGGUGCAGGGGGGAGGCUGGGGGGCAAAGCUUUGGAACUGAUUAUUUAGUUCCAAAUUUGAGUAUCACUGGCUCCCCUGACCUGAUACUGUUUACGUCCUAAACUCUCAGCAGAGCUUCAUCUUGACAAAAUCUAUCCAAGACCCACAGAUUGCUUCCCUGGUACCACUGUCCAUGGUAAGUUGUGCUGUCAUUUCCUUUGCCAUGAGAAUGAACACCAAUUUGUUCAAGAAAUUUUGGAAAUACCCUCCCAUAUCCUGUUCUCACGCUAAUGGUGAUUGUCCAGGCCCAGGGGAGAAGCAAACUGGUCUAAAUAAAGGAGGCAAACAGAAUAAACCCUGAAAAGUGAUGAAUAAAGGGAAUAGAGGUGAGUCUCUUAUUGUUCAGCAAGUUUGUGAUUUGAGUGGAGUGCAGAAAGAGGGAAGGCACAGAGAUGUUCACAUCUCUGAACAGAUGAAUGCCACUGGAUGACCCAGUCUGUGGAGGUGAGGGGAAUCCAAAACUUGUGCUUGCAGUGGGGUAGAAGGUGUAUCAAGGAAAGGGCCUAUCACAGAGAAGAUAUUUUGCAAGCUCCUGAAAUUCAGUGGCACUGUGUCUAAGGGACCAGGUAGUUCUGUAAGGCCAUUGUGAUGCUUUUUCUGUAUUGGUGUCAGAAAAGAAUUAGACAGUACCUCCCACACAUGCUGAGGGUGGAAAGCCUGAGGAUGGAGUGUCUCACACAGUUCCCCUUUACUGAACUCAGCCCCAGGCAAGACUCUCCAAGGGGGAUUGGUACCUGUGGUCAGUCGAGCAGAUCUGUCUCUCCUUGUAGUGACAGCAGAUGCCACACAGGAAUUUAGUGCAGACAUCAGCAAAGCCACAUUAUCACGCUGUGUGCUGCCACUCUCAGGGGCUCAGUGGGACAGAACCAGCUCAGGCACAGAGAACUCCAUUCCACUGCAGGGAAUGCUGCCCUGCAGGACAGAGAGGAAGGCGAGUCAGAAGCAUCAGCAGCUUUGAUCUCAUAACUCUCCCAUCAAUUAAUUAAUUCUGUAUUAUUAAUGUUACAGACGAUAUAACUCACAUCAGCAACUUCAUGGAAUAUUUCUUUUGACCUGUUAAGCAUCUUUAAAGGUAAGACACAUCUAAGUAAAUAUAAUAUACCAUGUACAUUUAAGUUGAUGGUAAGCUCCCCAAAUGUCAAUUUGAAUAACUGUGAUUAUCUUGCCUCAGUUACAGAUUCUGUCCAAUUUUUGACAUGGAUUGUCUAUUUGUUAUUUUAAAAUUUUACUAAAGAUACAUUUUUAGUUAAGUACUGCAAGUUUAAGUGGCUAUGUGGUAUCUAAAUUGCUGAAUGAAAUUAUUCUGCUAAUUUGAUUUAGUACCAACUAUCCCCUCUCCCCUGACAUGUUAAAAAAUUCCUUGCCUAACUUAAUGAUUGUGUUGAUGAUGAGGUGAGCUUGUAACUUUUUUGAUAGAGUUCAUCAUUUUAGGUUGUUUAUCUUUUCCAUGUAAGUAGGAAAAGCCUUGAGAGAUUAUUUGCCUCAUAGUAAUCUUGGAGAGCAGGUUAUAGUCCUGUCCUGCACAGUGCCAAGAGUGACCUGUGGCCCUGUGGCACUGCCACCACCCUCCCUGAGAGCAGGCACUGCUCCAGGCUGUUGGAUCAGGCACAACUCUGCUUUAACUGUAGCUGAGCUUCUUGAACUCUGAGGUGAGGUGGUAAAAUUGGUCACAGGACCAGAACACACUGGUACAAUUCUGAAAUGCUUUCCACUGACUGAGAGUGCUUUGUUUUCAGCUGGGUUUGGGUUUGUUUUUUUCUUUCCUUUCCACCUCACCAGCCACAUCCUUUAGGGUAGAUAAACUCUGAAGUGCUCAUAAGGAAAUGUGCUUUUUUAAAUUGUUAUUGUUCACUAAAACACAUAAAAAAAUGAAACAUUUACAAUAUUUAGACGCUAACAAGACAUUUCCUGUGUGCACCUGAGCAGCAACAGCCAAGGCCCCUGCCCCUACUGCAGCAUGGGAAGUCCAGGUUUGCUGCUCUGUACUUGAGGGAGGGCUUGGCAACUGCUUCCUGGAGGAUUGUGCCAGUGGGAAGCAGAUGCCAUCCUCCUCAGAGACAGCAAGAUGAGGAAGCACAGACCUGCUGGGCUCUCUCUUCCACCUUUGCAUUCCAUCUCUGCUCCUUGCCCUCCUCAUUCCACUUCCCAAGUCAGGAAUGAGUCAGUAAGGCCCUUGCACCUUAUGGUGGGACCAUAAACCCACUUUUCCAGCAGAGAAGGCUUGAAUGGCUGUGUUUGUUCGUAACACAAACAUAAAUGUACACAAAUGGGGACCAAAACCCGAUGGCUUUGCUAUUUCCCUGCAGCUGGGGGACUGGCCAUUCAGCACAGCCCUUGCUCCAGCACUGCCAGUUAACCUCGGGCAGAUCCAGUUCCAAUGCAGCCCAGCCCACAAGGAUCUCCUGUAAUCCACACCAUAGCCUGGUAUUCAUUUCCAACACUCCUCCAGAGCCCUGCUGAUCCCCACACUUCAGAAAGCACCUGGCAAAGCCGCCUCCCCAGCAGAGAGCAAACAGAACCUGGUGACAGGAGACACUGCUGGGAUUAAAUACCUGUGUGGGUAUGCCAGUGCAUUCCUGCUUCACACACUGCAAUUUAUGUUUGCAACUAGCACAAUGCAAAGUGCAGGUCAGACAUCACGUGGGCAGCAGAUAUUAGAUUUUUACUGAGCCUGUGAUGGGCACAGAGCUGUGUGAGUGAUGGCUGUGAGUGACUUAAAGAGCUGCCAUGACUGAGACUUUCCUUGCCAUUCAAAAGCUUUUUGGUUGCCCCACUUACAGAGUUUUAUCAGAUUUCUCAACCUAAAAGAAAAUCUGAUUGAUUUUAUCCAGGUCUGAAGUUAGCUCAGCUCCAAGCAGGGAGUGACACUUGUUGACUUUGCCAUGCAAAUUUUCCUGAGGCUCUUAAGUGGUGAUGAUUGUGGAAAGGAGAGGAAAAGGACCAACAGAAAUGCUGGUGUUUCCUGUGUGCCCAAAGCCCCCAGGGAAACAGGCAUGAGAGAAGACAAACAGGGAUCUAAAAGAAACCAUUCCUUUGUGCAUGGAAACGGCGUGGCAGCAGAGUUUGGGGAAGUCUGCAGUGAAAGGAGAACCCACCGGCUGUUUCCCAAUUAAAGCUUCUGGGCAAGCCCACCUGCUCCUGCUCUCAGAACAGGAAAGGAGAGAAGGCACCAAGUCCAGCCCUCCCGUGUUGCUGCAACAUGGCCCAGUAUUGAGCCACUCAGAUGCCAGCAGGUCUCCCUCUGCCAGGAACAGAGCAGUGACCUCCUCUGGGAAAAAACACUUAACUCAUCCCAUCUUUGCCCAGAGCCUUGGUGUUUGAGCAGCCAAACCCAACAAGCUCCAGAACUGCUGGUCCUGCCCAUGGUGUGGGAUGAAUUAUACCCACAGCCCCAAAUUCCCUGCUGAAUUCCUGCUGGAAUAACCCAACAGUGCCUUGUGGAGUCUGGACAUUCCCAUGCAGAGCUGCCGUGGAACAGCAGCUGUGGCAGGAACCAGCAGAGGUUCCAGGACAAGGACAGGUUUGUAUUCCAUAGAAUUUGCUGUUUAUAAACCUCAUCCCCCAGCCCCACUGAUGUCCCUGGGGGACACUUGACAGAGUUCCCUGGAAUUCAGCUGAUUUCAUCCCCCUGAGCUCGGGCUCCAGUUGAAAUUUUAAAGCAGGAGAAGGUGAUGGCUCCUGGCCCGUGCUGAGGCAGCCCCUGUGCCCAGGGGAGGACAUCUCUCCCUGCAGGAGCUGACUCCAUCUCAGAGCCUCAGGAGUGCCUCUGCAGGUUCUUUUCCCUCAGGAAAGGGAUGCACAUCCCUGCUUCCAGCACACCUCCAGUGGGACCCACCUGUGAGUUUUCCAUCAGUUCUGUGGUUCCAGCUGGCUCCCUGGAACACUCCAAACUUCAUCCAAACAAAACCUCACCUGACUCUAACCUUUUAUUUACAGGCCUCCCUGAGGGCAUUGCUUGGGGUUUCAUUUCUGGGGGGAAGAUCCCCCUGGCUUUAACGCUGCUGAGGGAUGAUGUCCCUGGCUGGGAGGGAAGGGGUUUGGGGGGCUGGGACACACCUGGGGGUGUGCAGGAGCUCCGGGAGGUCGGCACCGGGAAUUGCUGCCUGAGCCCCUCCUCAAACGCACCGCGCUGACAUUCCCAGGUAAAGCCAGAUGUUCCAGCUGUUCCUCGGUAAUUUGGGGCUGCGGGCGGGGUCUGUCCGGGCUGAAGCAGCUCCGGAGCCCGUCAGAGCAGCCCCUGGCCGAGGAGCCGCGGGCAGCCCUCGAUCCACGUCCAUCCCAGCGCUGCCCAUCCCCGGGAUGCGGGUGUGGCGGGACACUGAGGCACAGCUCCUCCCCUGCAAACACCGAGGGCAGGAGGUGCUGGGUCCCUUCCUGGGCUCCCGGCCUCCUCCUGCCCCGCAUUCCCAGCCAGCUGGGACCACUGAGGAAACACCAAGGAACAUUCCCACCUGGGAGUGGGAGUCACCAAGGGCUCCGUGCAGCUCCGGGCCAGGAAAGUGGCACUCACCUGCAGGGAUUUUGGGCUGUGAACACUCACCUGCAGGAAACGCCCCUCUGCAGGUGGGACCAGCCCUGACACUCUCCUGAAGAACUCUGGCCACGGACCAAGUGAACCCUCAGGGCUUGUCCUGCUCAUUUCUCCUUGGAAAGGGACAUGGAAUGAGCACCUUUACAGCUGGUGGUAAAUCCUGGAAAGAGCAGGAAACCAAGGUUAUUGAAGAGUCUGGUGCUGUCCUGUGAGACACCAGCCAGUCCUGCUCUAGAGCCAGUCUAGGGGCUGGUGUGCAGAGCAGGACUAGCAGGAAGGAAGGAGCCACAUUGACAUAGGAAUUCCCUUGCUGGCAGCAGCCACCUCAUCCCAGGCAGGACCUUCCUCAUGAGCCUGAGGUUGCUCAGGUGCUUGGAGCAGGGUGCUGACAAGGCCAAGAUGCUGAAUUCAGUCCCCACGUGGGCCAAUCGCUCAUCACCGUUUGACUCGAUGAUCCUCGGGGCCCUUUCCAACUCGGAAC